rnacentral:rRNA from 1 species
ACAAUAAAUCACAAUGCGGAACUAUUAGUUUUGCAAUUGGAUUGAGAACAAUGUACAAAUGUUAUCGAUAAACAAUUGGAGGGCAAGUCUGGUGCCAGCAGCCGCGGUAAUUCCAGCUCCAAUAGCGUAUAUUAACGUUGUUGCAGUUAAAAAGCUCGUAGUUGAAUUGAAGUGAACUUGGGUUGAUGUAAUCUUCGGAUGACAUGAAUCAAAGUUGACUCUUUCCAAAGUCAAUACAUUGGUAUUCAUUUAUCUUUGUAUUGUGUUUGGUCAUUUACUGUGAGAAAAUUAGAGUGUUCAAAGCAGACGUUUGUUUGAAUACAUUAGCAUGGAAUAAUCAUAUAUGGCUUUCAUGUUGAUUUGAUUGGUUUGAAUAUGGAAGCAAGAUUAAAAGGGACAGUUGGGGGUAUUCAUAUUCAAUAGUCAGAGGUGAAAUUCUGGGAUUUAUGGAAGAUGA